rnacentral:rRNA from 1 species
UGCGUAGGCGGAAUAUUAAGUCAGUGGUGAAAUCCUGCGGCUCAACCGUAGAACUGCCAUUGAUACUGAUAUUCUUGAAUGUAGUUGAGGUAGGCGGAAUGUGUAAUGUAGCGGUGAAAUGCUUAGAUAUUACACAGAACACCGAUUGCGAAGGCAGCUUACUAAACUAUGAAUGACGCUGAUGCACGAAAGCGUGGGGAGCGAACAGGAUUAGAUACCCUGGUAGUCC